rnacentral:rRNA from 1 species
GACGAACGCUGGCGGCGUGCUUAACACAUGCAAGUCGAACGGAAAGGCCCUGCUUUUGUGGGGUGCUCGAGUGGCGAACGGGUGAGUAACACGUGAGUAACCUGCCCUUGACUUUGGGAUAACUUCAGGAAACUGGGGCUAAUACCGGAUAGGAGCUCCUGCUGCAUGGUGGGGGUUGGAAAGUUUCGGCGGUUGGGGAUGGACUCGCGGCUUAUCAGCUUGUUGGUGGGGUAGUGGCCUACCAAGGCUUUGACGGGUAGCCGGCCUGAGAGGGUGACCGGCCACAUUGGGACUGAGAUACAGCCCAGACUCCUACGGGAGGCAGCAGUGGGGAAUAUUGCACAAUGGGCGGAAGCCUGAUGCAGCAACGCCGCGUGCGGGAUGACGGCCUUCGGGUUGUAAACCGCUUUCGCCUGUGACGAAGCGUGAGUGACGGUAAUGGGUAAAGAAGCACCGGCUAACUACGUG